CUGACAGCUAUCACACAAAAGUUUCUUUUAGUAGCAGCGAGAAAUUUCUUCAGAGAUGUGCAAAGUAAACGUUAUUAAACUGAGUGUAAAAUUAUCAAAGGCUAUGACGUCUAGCGUCAGAAAAAAGAAACUUUUACAUGAAAACAAUGUCCGCUCUAGCUCGUUGACACUCAAUUGAAAGAAGGAACAAACAAAGGCAAUUAACUUCGAUACUCACGGCAUAUACUCCUCUCCAAAUUUAUAUCUCGUCUUCACCAAAAAGUCUCCACUGCAGCAUCACAUAUCACAACAGACAAAAUCCCUAAAAGGUUUCAAUGGCCGUUGAUGUUCAGGCUGUUAAUGGAGAUGCUGCCUAAUGAAGAGAUGUCGAAAGGUGUGCUUAAAGUUGUUGCUGCUGCUGCUGUCUUUGGUGUCACAGUUCAAUGUGUUGUUCAUUAAUUUGUCUGUCAUGUCAAAUCUCUCCCAUCUCUGUCACUCAAAUCUCAUCCAUGCAUUUACGAUUGAGGUAACCUGAUCUUACAUGAUCUAGGAGUGCUUCAAUUGAAAACUGCUAGAUCAAGAAACCUUAUGCACCAAACAAAUAAUGACGUUGUGUUAUAAUCGCGGUUGGGAAAGCAACAGGCCCCCUGCCAUCAAAUAAAAUUAUGGGUCUUGUGUUUAA